UUUCCGUAGGUGAACCUGCGGAAGGAUCAUUCAUAAUAAGUGUUUUACUGCACUUUUUAAAAAUAGUACUCACCUUGUGUACAAUGUUGUGUUUCUUUUCGGAGAAACACCUACACCAACCUAUAACCUUGAACCACUUUGUCUGAAAAACUAUUAUGAAUACUUAAUUCAAAAUACAACUUUCAACAACGGAUCUCUUGGCUCUC
rnacentral:misc_RNA from 1 species